rnacentral:rRNA from 1 species
AUAUUGCAUAGUGACCUAAAAGGUGUNGAAUAGGUGGGAGGGGCAACCCGACGGUGAAAUACCACCCCUUUUGGCGUUACUUUGCUAACU